CACCCAAGUACUGUAAAAAAUAAAUAAGAAAGCUAUUGAUCAUUGAUCAGUGAAUGAGCCAAGUUCACAGUUCAUUUACUUUCCAUGGGCAAUUUCUGAUGGACUGGAGAGCGACAUUUAACAAGAUACCUCAAACAAGAAAGUUACACAACUAACACUUUUCUCAAUAGUGUAAAAAAAAAUUUACUUACCUUUUGCAGUUGCUGAUGAGGACCGAAGAGGCAAGGACUGAGAACUGAGAAAGACUGAGGACUGAGGAAGACAGAGGAUUGAGGACAACCAAGUUGCUGACGGCGCGGAGAGCCGAUGGACUGGAGAGCGACGGCCGAAGAUUGCGUGGAGAGCGACGACUGACGAUUGUGUGGAGACUGGAGAGAGAGACUAGAGAGCGACAGUGAGGUGAGGAGGAGUCGGCGACUCAGCGUUGCAAGUGAAGAUCGAUGACCCGAGUUAGCCACGGUGGUUAAUCGGUCGAUGUCGGGAGGAGAGUGGAGGUUAGACAGUGGACAGUGGACCCGCUGGAAGUGGUGGAGCUCAGUGCUCAGAGAAGAGGCACAGGCAUGUGUGACGUGAGGGUGAGGCGGCGUGGAAUUGAGAUUACAGAUUAGCGUCUCUA
rnacentral:lncRNA from 1 species